CCAAUAGCGUAUAUUAAAGUUGUUGCAGUUAAAAAGCUCGUAGUUGAAUUUCGGGAUUAAUAGGUUGGUCGUGCCUCUGGUAUGUACUCGCCUUACUGAUUCCUCCUUCUUGAAGAACUGUAAUGCCAUUAAUUUGGUGUUGCAGGGAAACAGGACUGUUACUUUGAAAAAAUUAGAGUGUUUAAAGCAGGCCAUUGCCUGAAUACAUUAGCAUGGAAUAAUGAAAUAGGACGUUGAUCCUAUUUUGUUGGUUUCUAGGAUUGACGUAAUGAUUAAUAGGGAUAGUUGGGGGCAUUAGUAUUCAAUUGUCAGAGGUGAAAUUCUUGGAUUUAUUGAAGACUAACUACUGCGAAAGCAUUUGCCAAGGAUGUUUUCAUUAAUCAAGAACGAAAGUUAGGGGAUCGAAGACGAUCAGAUACCGUCGUAGUCUUAACCAUAAACUAUGCCGACUAGGGAUCGGAUGAUGUUAAUUUUUUAAUGACUCAUUCGGCGCCUUACG
rnacentral:rRNA from 1 species